CUUGGAAUGUUCUACAAGGUUUAUAUCAACUGAGGGUUGAAAAAUCCUACUUAUCCACUCUCCUUACUUUAGAGAUGAGGAAUUUGAAUCUUAGAGAGUUUAUGACUUAUCCAAUUGGUGGUAUUACCGAAAACCAAAAGCCAGUUUGCUUCCUAGUUGAAUGUUCUUUCCAUCAUGCCAUGUGGAGUUAUUUUGAGUCAACCAGAAAAUCUGCAAGGACAUCAAAAUAAUGUUCUUUCUCCCUCUGACCUCAGUAAUAACCGGUUAAAGAUUUAGAAUGCUUUAGAGUAAAUCCUCAAAGCAGCUGCAGGUCCUCAAUGUUCCAGAAUAGAUAUUUUAAGUUCUCCAAAUAAAAAAUCCCAAUAAAGACCUUCUUUUUGCAGUAACUAAAAAAGUUUCCAGCUCUCCUGUCACAAAGUGGCUAUUGAGACUUCAAAUGUCAGAUGAUCUCCUUUGAAGCAGCAAAAUAGAGUGGAUAGAACUCCAGGAUGGAUGUCAAAAAACUCUGUGAUCCUAGUUCUAACUCAAAUUUACCUUUCAUAUGGUAUGAGGUUGGCAACAAAUGAUUCAUGGACCACCACUCAUCUAUAGACCAGACAUUAGUAAGAUGUGCUUGCUUCUCCUUCGCCUUUCACCAUGACUGUAAGUUUCCAGAGGCCUCCCAGUCAUGGUUCCUGUUAAGCUUGCAGAACGUGCACACAACCUGGAGCAAAGAGAUGUCAACGUAGACUUGAAAGCCUCAACAAACAUCUAUACAUUCAAAAUUCAGAGGAUAAUUGCAGACUUACAUGUUAAAUGAUGCCACAGGCUUGUGGUGAAUGUACAAAUCUAAUUCC
rnacentral:lncRNA from 1 species